GAUGAACGCUAGCGGCAGGCUUAACACAUGCAAGUCGAGGGGCAGCACAGGUAGCAAUACUGGGUGGCGACCGGCGCAAGGGUGCGUAACGCGUGAGCAACAUGCCCGUAUCAGGGGGAUAAUCCAUGGAAACGUGGUCUAAUACCCCAUAGUAAGUUUUUGAGGCAUCUCGAAGAUUUUAAAGCUUUGGUGGAUACGGAUUGGCUCGCGUGACAUUAGCUGGAUGGUAGGGUAACGGCUUACCAUGGCUACGAUGUCUAGGGGUUCUGAGAGGAAGGUCCCCCACACUGGAACUGAGACACGGUCCAGACUCCUACGGGAGGCAGCAGUGAGGAAUAUUGGACAAUGGAUGGAAAUCUGAUCCAGCCAUGCCGCGUGCAGGAAGACGGCCCUAUGGGUUGUAAACUGCUUUUGUAUGGGACAAUAAGAUCUACGUGUAGAUUGAUGAGAGUACCAUACGAAUAAGCACCGGCUAACUCCGU
rnacentral:rRNA from 1 species